CUUAGGACCAAAAGCCCAAUAAGCAAAUCCAUUAUCUGUUCGAUCCCUAACCCUAGGCACAUCCACAUCCUCCUCCAUCCCGUCGCCGCACUCUUCCUUUCUCUCCACCUUCCCGUCGCCGCCCCUACCACGACUCAUUCAUCCCCUUCCACAUCCCUACCCCCUGCAGGAGCGAACAAUAAGCUUGUUUCCCCGCCGUCCUCUUUUGUUCUCCCGAUUGGUGCAGUAGCAGCUACGUAUGCGGUUCAUGGCUACGGCUCUUGCGAACGCAGAUCGACCGUCUUCGAGGCGUGGACCUACGUCAGCAUCAAAGAUCUGAUCCACUGCGUCGAGGAUGUGCACGUUCAUCGUCGCCGUCGCCUACCGUGCCUCAAGUUGCCCUUCGAGGCGUUCACGGGGAAGCCAUGCCAUCCCGCGGCGGCGCCUCUGUCCCCCACCACAUGUCGAUGACGUUAAGUCUUUGCCCCACAGGUCGACGACAUGGCGCGUCUUGGGCGAUCCACAGUGCAGGAUGCCAUCGCGGUCAGGUUCCAGUGAAGAACAAUGGUACAACGCGACACACUGCUAUCUCCUUCCUGAACAUGGGAUGGGCCAGAUCCGGUCGCUAAUGGCCAAUUUGGCCCGAACUAGAUGCGGUGGUGGGAGAAAUAGUCUGAUGCAUGAAAACCAUGAUGUUGCACCGCUGCUAGCGAAACCGCCACACUUACUUGCCAAGACGUUCUCGGUCUCCACCACCCAGUCCAAAUUCUGCUGAUCCAACAUUAUCGGUUGAAUUGGGCAUGUUGAGCGUACAUAAUAUACAUAGUAUGCGAGGUGGCGCCGCAGAGGAAGGGCGUCGACUUCGCCUUCCUGCUCGAGCAGGCCUGGGAGCAGCCCCCCCGAGGAGCGGGGCCUCGACGCGGCCAGCCAACUCGCUUCCAUGGACUCACCAUUUGGCGGCAAUGGCAAGAGCAUAUUGUGUGGAGGAAUAGGAUGA